GCUAAGUCAAGCGGUAGAAGUGAGGAAACAAAUAGAAAGUGGCUUGCUAAGUUGGGCGGUGGCCGAGUGGAGAAGCGAGGCUUCAAUUCUUUUCUUACCAACCAAACACCAAGAGCAAAACUGAGAGACUAAGCCAUUUCUUUUCAUCUCAAGGCACAACCGAGAGAGAGGAAAAUAUUUCUGGUUCCUCCUUGUUCCAGUUUUCAACCGAGAGAGUGAGGGAGAGAGUUAGACAUUUGCUAGCUUUAUUUCUCCAGCUUGGAACCUCAAAACUCUGAGCCAAAGUGAGUGAGAGGGAGAAAAAUCCUGGUGGUAUACUUCACCUAACGGCCUCAACCGAAUGAGAGUGAAGUAGAUUGAAGAAAGAGUGAGAGUUGGUGCAAUUUUGAGGAACCGAAGCUCAACUUGGAGCCGUCUGCACUUGCUGAAUUCUAGAGGAAAGGAGUUCUUGUCCUUAGUUUAGCUACCCGAGAGACAUUAGGAGGAAAAGGAGAGAAGGACCAAAAGAAAGAAACAACAACAACAACUAGGAACUCAUUUCUGGCCACCUUCAACCGUGAGAACCAGCCACAAAGAAAGCAGGAAUGCAGUCUAUUGAGCUAAGAAUGGGAGAGAAAAACCAGAAUUUUAUUUUCCUAACUUAGAACCAUAAGAACCAGAGGUAAACUACUAUCUUUCUCUUCCAUUUCUUCUACGUUUAGCUAGUAGUCUUUUAGAAUGAAUUGAAACCAAGUAAAAGAAAAUUUUCUAGAAAACAAAGGUUGUCAAAGCUGGAAAUGUUCGUUUGAAGCUGCAUGUUCUCACUCUAAUGUUUAUAUGAUUGCAAGUUAGAUUUGAGUGUAAAAUGAAGAGAUUAUUAGAGGAAAUUUCAUACUUUUAAACUGCUAGCUGCUGAAACUCCUUCAUCUUGGCCGAGAGAACAAAAGAGAGUAUUCUCCAACUUUUCUCUUCAAACCUUGGCUAUAAAUUCUAUAUUGUGAUUCAAAACACCUCAUAGAAUAAUAAUUAUCACCUGGAUAUUAAGUUUGAAUGAGGAAAAUAAAGAAUUUUAUGGAGAAAACUUGUUUUCCAAACUACCUACUUGCUGGAAUUUUUCAACCUCAGCCGAGAGAGAUGGAAGGGAUAUUUUCUGAUAUUUCUCUAUAGAUUUUGGGCUGUAAACUUUCAUAUUAAGGUUGAUUACACCUUAUAAUAUCAUUAGAUGGUCAUGUAUGUGAAUUUUGGGGUGAAAAUGUGAUUUUUUAUGGCUGGAUUGUUGUUUGAAAGACUGUUAGGCUAAUAAACCAUUUACAGUUUAGUCAACGGAAUUUCUUGGCUUUGAAUGGAUAUUUUAGUAUAAAAUUUGCUGGAAAUGCUUGAUUUGUACUUGUUGCUGUGUUAUGAGUUUGUUGGUGAGUGAUUGGUGGAUGGAAAUAAAAUCUAAAUAGUUAAAAUGGAAGGGAAAGUUUGCUAUACCACCUACAGGAAUCAAAGGAGCCUUGUAACUUAUAUAAGAAGAUAUCCAUUUAUUACUUGGUUUAAUAGGCUCUAUAUAAAUUGUAUACACAUCUUAAGGUAAUAAACUAGUUAUGCAUGUGGUCUUGGUUAAUAACAGAAGGAAUUAUGUGACAAGAAAGUACUUUAAGGUUAGCUACUUCUAAACUUACCUUGUUAAACGUUAAUGUUGAGUUUUAGUACGAUAAAUCUAACAGUAUAAAAGUAGUGAAGUGACAUUACUGGAAUUGCUACUUAAACUUCCUUUCUUUUGGAAAUUAAAAGUUGAAGUAACAAGCGAGUGUGAGAAAAUGCACUAGUCAUCUCAUUUAAACAUAGCAAUGACUUAGAUUUCGGGUGGAAUGGUGACUUAAGGCUAGAAUACAACACGUAUGUUGAUUAUACUUUAGAAUUUCACCAAAUGAGUAGUUAAAUAAUUAUGGCAAUUAUAACUUGUCUCAGGAGACAGCGGUGCGCAAGAAAGCAAUUCUAAGAUCGAAGUGUAACUUUUGAUUAGGGUGAGUGUUUAAGAAUUUAUAUAUUUAACUGUUUAUGUUUAUUUAAGUGAAAUUAUGUGAUAAAUGUGCUUAUUAUGUAUAUUGCCAGUGAUUUAUUGUAAAGUGUAUCUCAAUUGUCCCUCGCCUUCUAAGUCGAGGGUGUACUUUAUCGCACUCGACUUAGUUGAACUUGAAGGUUGAUUAUUGACUAAAUGUUACUGUAAGUAUGUAUGAAUGUAAGCCGUAUGUGUACUUUAUCGCAUCGGCUGAACUGAGCCUCAAAACCCUCUGUUCAACAGAUUAUUCGAGCCAGCAAAGGGCUUGUUGGAUAGGACGGAAGCUUUGGGUAACUGUUUGGUAUACUCGGGUAUUACCCUGAAGUUGGGAGAUUAUUGAACUGAUUGCUGAAUGUAGGGGAUUGAUUAUUGUUUUGGAGGACAUAAGGAGGUGGAUUGGCGGAGUGUGCAAUAAUAUUGAAAUGAAUGUACAAUGACACUGAAAUGAGUGUGCAAUGAUAUUGAAAUGACACUGAAUUACUGAACGGAACUAAGUGCUACGUCUGGAACGAACGGGAACCACCUCUAGAGUCCGUAUCAAUACCGUAUCCUUUGAGGUGAUUGAUUACUUUUAUUAAAUUUGAUAUCCUGAAUUGUUAAGUUUGGUGAAUGUUUUAUACUGCUAAUUGGUUGUUGUAUCCUUUUGAAAGUGACAAUACAGUGAAAUGUGCAUUACUUGCUUAAUUUUACUAGUUAAGUGUUUAUUGAAUGUUACUUGUUCGGCAAACCUCACUAAGUUUUAGCUCAACCUUUUAGUUUUGUUUUCCUUACAAGAAUUGGUGGUCAGGGAAUGAACAAGGGAUCUUAAGGAGUUAACGUGAAGAAUUUUGUGAAUGUAAAUCCUUUAACAUCAAAUUAUGGUUGAGGCUAUUAUAUUGAACUUGGUAUUGUAAAAGAUUUGAGUAUUUGGUUUUGGUUUAUCGAAAUGUUAUCUCUGAAAUUAAUGUAAGUGAGUGAGUCCUGGCGAGAGUCAGGCAGAUGGUCCGCUAACUUCUAGGGUAUGCUCUAGGAGAAGGUGUGACGACCCCACCUCCCCUAAGGCGUACCAAAGGGUUCGGCGGACCGCCUGCCCAACUCUCGCCAGGACUCACUCACUCGUGUCUUACGCAUACAUCCAUAGACAAGAAAUAACAUUGCAAUUCAAACUUGUAAUAUACAUCGAUGCACAAACCCAGAUACAAGACAUCUAUACAUCCAAAAUACUUAAAAGUGUAUACAAUACAAGUACAACGCAUUCUAAGCGAAUGAUAGCGUGAGUACAACUCGAAAGUCAAAACAAUUAGUCUAAACUAGUCUGUACACGUCUCACGCCUCGCUCGUACCCCUGUAAGGAAAACAAAACUAAAGGAGGUUCCAAAUAUCAAAUUGUCCAGCAAAUAAAGUAACAGUGGCAUAAUGGUGAAAUAGCGAGCAAAACAAGUCAAGAAAUGAGUAAUAACACUUCAUAUAGCUAGACACGUAAUUUUUCCGCAUUUCACAUAUAAGAAUACAGUUGCUCAUAUAUCGACUCCACCAUAGCUUGAUCAAUUGGUAGUUGGCACUCCGUCAACUUUCAAGUGAGAAACUAGUCCAGUAGGUCACCACUUCACUCCAAUCUCCGUCCACCGAUCAAACCUCUUACUGGGCUCGAACUCCACAAUAAACACUGGUGGUAAUACUCGAGUAUACCGAUUAGUCGAGGAGAUAACACUCCACUCGACAACACUAGAUACCCAUGGUUCGUUAUCUAAUCGACCAAACCCUUGCCGGCUCGACUCGAUUAACUAGCCAAUGGGGUUUGGAUCCCCAAAAAAUCGAUGAGAUAACACUCCAAUCGAUUGAAUCAAGAUAAAAGUAUGGAGACGGGAAUGAGAGGUACCUCCCACUCGGAUCGAGUGUGGUACAUACUGCCGCUCAGUACUUACAAGUCACACACAAAUAUCUCAAAUCAAUUGCAACAAUAAACAAGUACAUAUCACGUUAGGGCAAGUGCGAUAAAGUACACCCUUGCCCGAUCAUACCAAUCACAUAUCAUUCGAUCACAUUGGUCAAGUAUUAAAAACAAGUAUCCAGUUCAAUCAGGUAUUUGGAAGUACUCACCAAAGAUGUAGUGCCUUUACGGAUCACGGUCAGGUAUUACUCCUUGUGUGGAGUUCAACUCUGCGAUAAAAUGUCAUUUAAGAACUUGAAAUCAAUUAGGGUUCAAGUUUUUUUUAAAGAAAAUCAAGUAAUUGAAACUCAUUUGGGGAAUAUUCGUAAAACUCAUGCUCGCUCUUAAAACUUUGAAAAUUUGAAGCGAUUAAACUUUGAAAUUCCCAUUUGAGUCGAAGAGAGGAGAAAAACGUAUUUCUAUUAGUCGUUACUUUUAUUUUUUCAAGGUUACAAGGUUCGGUCGAAUUCUAACUUAUAUACCACUAUGAGCGAAGACUUGAAUACCCUAGAUGAUUCGAGUUCAAUUCGACCUCAAAUCUUCGCUCAAACUGCGAGUAUACACGUCUCACUUUCGAGUGAAAAUUUGGGCAGCAUACCCCUUUGUAUUUAGCUAUUUUCCAGUCAUUUAUGGCUUCAUUAUUGUUCUCAAUUCAGCCCUAAAAUCACACGCAAAUAAUCUUACCACAAUAGCCUUUCACUAGGCUCAAUGUCAUCCACACACAAGACAAUUUUAGCAUGUAAGCUUCACUUGGAAAUUCGGAAAUGGUGGCCAAAAGCUAAGUACAAGUCUUGACCGCUUUAAUUAAGGUAACUUGUUAAAAGAGUAAAACUUUGAGGAAAUGAGAGAUACAUUAGCGAGAGAAGUUCAAUAGGGAUAUAUUUGAUGUCAAGGAAGUGGAAAAAUCAAGGUGAGGGGUUGGAAGUAGGCCGUCUGAGGUUUUAAAGUCAAGAAGCCCGUUUCUAUACUUCAGGAAUCUACUGAGAUGAAUAGUAACAGUAAACUUUAAAAAUUCGCAACUCGAGUUCCACAAAUCAAACAAUUAUCAAAGUUAUACUGUUGUAAAAUAGAUUUUUAGUACUAUCACAUCCCAGAAGACACUUUUCAGAGAUUCAAAUCACAAAUAGGCCAAAUAUUCGAUCCAAGUCAAAAAUUCAUUUUCCUGAAGAAACAGGACAUUCAAGCAGGACAGCCUACUUUGAGGAGUCACGGACAGCAGUACACAUGGAGGAAAAAUAUGAAAUUUUUACAAAACAAAGGCCCAUGAUUCUAGUUGCAAAUGCCACUGAUGACACCUCAAUCGGAUUUUUCUACACCAAGAUAUAAGCAUUUUACUGAGACUGGUCAGUGAAAUCCGAAAAUCUGGAAACUCAUUUUUCACUUGUGAAAAACUCCUUUUUCUCUUUUAAAACCACAAGACUUUUAUUCAAACCACCCAUACAUUUAAGUAUGACAUUCAUACCAGCAGUUUUAACAUAAUUUAAGCAUCAAAUUUCAACAGAAACCAAAGAAAUAUACAUAUAUUCCAAGUUUAAAGUCUUGUAAGAUGUUUAUACUAAGAUUAAAUCAUUUUCUAUCCAAUAUUCAAGGAUUAAGGCAAAUGAACUCUUCAUUUGUUCCAUUUAAGCUAAACCAGAUUCUAAGUUGUUUGUAGUUUGGGUUUUGUUCCACUACACCAGCCCCUCACAUUAAUAGUCUUUAAAAUAUUAAUGAACACAAUAUUAAAUCAUUAGAAGCCACUUUACGUAUAUAACUAUCAUAACUUUCCACUCAAUCGUGUUGGUUUAACCCUACUCGUGGAACUAGGUAUAUCCAUUAAAUCUGAGAACAAUCGUAGCUAUCAUUUAUGAAAGCUUGCAAGAUUGGAAAUUAGAAGAAAUGUUAGUUAAAAGUUGGUUUCCUCAGGGCCAUCAUCAAAACUGCAUGCAUGUGAAACAAAAGGAAAGGCAACGAGGAAGUCAGCUUUGCCAUCCUCUGGUAUUUCAAUCAUAACUAGAGCUAUGCUUAUCAGAUUGAGGCAAGCUUUAUAGCGUUUCGAAGCUAAGAUAUAUACCUACAUUUCUUAUGACGACACCAACACCCAAUUCUCAUAUUUUCAGGGUCAAAAAUGGCCGGACAGAAACACAUCCUGCUUCACUCUGUCGGACAGCAACCACAAAAUUAAUCCAGUACCGUUACUUCAACUUUUGUCAAAAACUCUAUUCUUUCACUUGCUUAAAGCUCUAAAUACUUAAGGUAUAUUCAGUCCAGCAUAUACAAGGUGAGUAACUCAUAAUUUCAGCAUGUUGUUCGGCCAAAAUCACACACAAAAUCUGUCAUCAGCUGUUGCAUCAUUCAACGAAGUUUUCCAGCAGUAUAACAGUUCAACUUUGAUGUUUUCUCAAAUAUUUCCUUUCAGGUUCAUGCUCCAACUAGAAGUAUAAAACAUAUCUUAUCAAGCUACAAAGUAGCCUUAAACAGAACAUAUGAGGUUUACAACUAAAAUUCGAAGGAAGAUUGAUUAAAAGUCCUUUUCUCUCUCUCUCUCUCUCGGCCUUCCUAGCCAGUUCCAUCAGCUUUAAUCAAAAUUUCACCAUUAGUUUUUCCAUUAUGCUCUCAAAUCUAACUUGCAAUCAUAUUAAACAUUAGACAGAUCAUAAUACGUGAGUUCCAGUCACAAUUUAGCAAACGUUUUAGAGAAAUAACCAAAAUUGCAGCUUUUCCCUCUCGAUUUGCUGUGCAGAAAAUUCCAGCUUUUGAGAUUGCUUUAAAGUCAAUCUUUUCUUGCUUUUAGCUCCUCAAAUAACACACGGAUGACUGGAUUAGGAAGAUGGCAGUUAUAUGAAGUGAGUUUUUAACUAAACUAACAAAAUUUUCUAGAGAUAAAGCUGGAAAUUUCCAGCUUCAUCUUAUUGAUCCUUCAUGUAGUGUCCAAACAGAAAUUCAGCAAAGUUUCUUCAUAUUUUACACUCAUUCCACUUGAGUUCAGGUCAAGUACUGCACCCAUGUCAAGAUAUGUAUACUAUGGAAUAUAUAUAAUGCAUGAAGACAUAAUCUAACACAUUUUGAAGGAGAAUUGACUAAAAAAUUGCAGCUUUUUAUCAUCGGGUAGCAUGCAAUAACUUUGAACAGAAUUUUCCAGCUUUGAAGAACUUUUAUCGGUGAAUUCCUUCCUUUCUCAGUUCUAGUUCAUCCCAAGGAAUUAUUAACCAGGCAUAGCAGGAAAAUGAAGAAGAGCUUAAUUAAUUACCUAUUGUCUCUUCACGGUUUAGACUGGAACAAGAUUUCUGGUUUUCUUUUGUUUCCCUCUCUCGAUUCCUUGGUUAAAUGAGCUGGAGUUUCUCUUGUUUCUUGGCUGGUGUUCAUGGUUGGAGAAGGUAAGAGAGGUCUCCGUUUUUCCUUCUUGUUGUUUCUCGAUUUUAGGCAACAGGGGAAGUGAAUGGAACCCUCUCGGUCACCGCCCAACUAGUGCACAAAUGAAUUUCUUAGCUCCUCUCAUUCGGUCAUCACCUCACGUAGCAAAUAAAUGGGCAGCUGUCUUAACAGGUACCGCACAAUCUAGAAGCCAAUUCCUACUGGUUUUCUCCCUUCCACCGCUUGGACUCAGCAGAUAAUUUCUCUUUAUUGUCUCUCUUUCGGUCACUACUUAUUCAGCAAAUUUGGUGAUGCAUUCCUUCCUGGCAGCUGUCUCAACUCACCGCCCCAGUCUCAGUUAAUUUCUACACUUCACCGCUUAGACAAGUAGAUGGUUGCUGGCUUCUAUUCGGUUCCUAUCAAUUAAAUUUUUAUUCCUCUCUCGGUUUUGGUCUUCUGAAUUCUGAUAGCUUAUGCCUUGGCCACCUGGUAGUUAGUCUAAAAUUUAAGGUUAGUUUGGUCUUUUAACUGUAGCUUAUUUGCUCACAACGGCCUGAUUUGUUUAUUUAUUUUUUUAUGAGUUCAUGCAUGGACUCGUACCUUCAUUUGUAUUUUCGUGGAAAAAUUUUGACACCUUUAGCUUUAAGAAAAAUUAUUAGACAUGUACCGAUUGAACUUCUAGUAUAGUUUACGUGACUAGUUGUAUUUGUUUGCAAAUAACAUACAUUACAAUAUGCAUGCCAUAUAUGUAUUUAAUUCAUAAAAUUUUUCUAUACUAUUCUAGAAUCUUUUCUAAAUUCUCAAUUCUAUAGAGAUUCAAUUAGGCCGUUAAUUUAAUCAUUUAUUCGUUAUACAUAAUAUUCCCAAUAUCAAAGUAAAUAAAUGAAAUAAAUUCAGGGCAUACGUAAUUUUUUUUUCCUGGGUCUUCACAGAAGGUGGGGCCGUCACAAAAUGAUUAUUCGUAAAGAAACUUAUUUAAAAGUUGAAAUUACCCUUGUUUUGAAACUCAAAUGGCUGAAGCGAACAAAAUGCAUAAACAUAAUAUGUAUGACACUCUAACCCCAUAUGAUUUUAUAUUUUACCAUGAAACCCCUUAUGAUUUAAUGUUUUAUCAUAUAAAUCCCUUAUGGCUUUCACUAUAUAUACAUAACCCCCUUAUAGUUAAUAAAUAAUUUUCAACUUUAUAUAGGGUAUUUUUUAUAUUUUAAUUGAUUCCAUUAUGGAUUGUAAAUUUCGUUAAUUUGACACUUUAAUUCAGACAAUAAGAGAGUUAUGUAUAACUUUUGAAAUCAUAAGAAGAUUAUGUAAAAAAAAAUAUUAAAUCAUAGGGGAGUAAAAUGUAAUUUAACUGUGUGCAGCAUCCAGCCCCUCUGGCUGCUGUCACUGGAUUGGGAGGAAUAUAGUAUGAAAGGCUGCAUGCACCGUCCAGCGUCUCUACCACUGUGGGUCAUGACUUUAAUUUCUUCACGGGUAGACUUGUAGUUGCCAGACUCAACACGAAACAAAGUUUGUACCCAAUUUCGAACGCUAUAUGGGCACGUCGAGAUAUUGAAUGCUGUUCAUUUACGAUUGUUUUGGUUACUCCAAAAUUUAAACGUGCAUUUGAAAUUCAUUAAAUAUCUGUUUACUCUUCUUUUAGCUUCAACCUUUUUAUAUAUUCAAAACCACCAAAAUGUUUUGCUUAUAUUUAAAAAAAAAAAAAAAAAAAAAAGAGAAGAGUUUAUCAAGUCUCAUUGAACGUAUUAAACAAGGUUUUUACCACAAAAAAAAAAAAAGAAAUAUAGCUGGAUCCAUGCAAAUAUCUGUAAAGGCUUUGUAAAGUAUGUGGAUCCUAUUCUAUAAGUAAUUAAAUUUUUUUUUUUUGGGUUAUUCUUGGAAAUAGACUACUGCAACCAGUUACUAUUUAAGUGGUCCAUGGCAGUAACUCUGAUACAAAUUGACAAAUGAAUACAUAUUUUUCAGGAACUUCAAGUCAUUGUCAUUUUAUCAGCAAUUUUCUACAAGCAUUUAGAACCAUAGAUGAUGCUUUAUCAGACGACCAAUACCAAAGGAAUUGAAUACGCAUCUCCUUAAUACUACUUCAUCAUUAUUAGCUGAUUGAUUUGGUAGUAGUAUUCCUGUCACUUUUGAUGCAUUAAAUAAGCUUAUUAAUCAAUUGUCGCUUGCGAGAAAGCUUGAUAAAAAAAAAAAAAAAAAAAUCAUCUCCAAAAACAAGUUGGCUAUGACAGGAAUGGGAGAGGGGCAAUGACAAUCGUCAGUUGAAUCGUUUCGAAACGAUGUAAAAGGGAAUCAACAGGCAAGUUAUCAAAUAUUUGUGAUAAACUCUUAAAACACACAUGUUAUAUACUUAAACUCUGUUCACGACGACCCUACAAGUUAGUUGAGUUAGAGUUACAUAUAUCGUUAUCUAUCUCACCUUUACAACAUGAAUUUUUAUGUUAUUGGCAAAAUCUGAGUCAUGAACCUUCCGAAACGUUCGUCAGUUUCGUGACAACCAUUUAGUCCGACAAAGACACUUGUCUUGUUGUAAAGUGAACUAGAAAAAUUACCUCGCAGUAUAUUUCUUAGAAGAAUAGACUAAGUACCAUCCGUUAGCCAACCACAAGUAUAGCAAUUGAAUCAAUUAUCCUGACUGAUUCUUAGACUGUUUAUUCCAACAAAUUGCCGAAUAAUGAUAUUAUGAAGUAUGUAACUGCUUUAUGCUGCUGAUACAUGUUUUCAUCGAGUGAUAAAAUUUGUUAUGUAUUCUGUAGUUAUUGUUGUAAUGAUUUCCACGAAGACUUCAAGUCAUUGUGCCUGUUUCAAGUCAUCGUGAGCCAUUGUUCCGAACCAUAGAGGUUCUUGCGUGAAUAUGUUUGUACUGGAGAACGAAUGUGUAUCUAAUGAUGAAACAUAGGACAACUGAAAGAAAAAAUACUUAUAAACAACGCAUUGUUUAUUUAUUUAUCAUUUUCGUCUCCGGCAUUAACAAGCAGGAGUACAUUUGAUUUCACCCCUCCUUCAGCAGAUAGCGAUCGAGAGGAACUGAUCAGGCAGCACGAGCAUAG
rnacentral:lncRNA from 1 species